CCUACGGGGGGCAGCAGUAGGGAAUCUUCCACAAUGGACGAAAGUCUGAUGGAGCAACGCCGCGUGAGUGAAGAAGGGUUUCGGCUCGUAAAGCUCUUUUUGUAGUGAAGUAAGAUAGAGGUAGUAACUGGCAUUUAUUUUACGGUAAUUAUUUAGAAAGUCACGGCUAACUACGUGCCAGCAGCCGCUGUAAUAAGUAGGUGGCUAGUGUUGUCUGGAUUUAUUUGGCGUAAAGCGAGUGCAGGCGGUUCAAUAAGUCUGAUGUGAAAGCCUUCGGCUCAACCGGGGAAUUGCAUCAGAAACUGUUGAGCUUGAGUGCAGAAGAGGUGAGUGGAAGUCCAUGUGUAGCGGUGGAAUGCGUAGAUAUAUGGAAGAACACCAGUGGCGAAGGCGGCUCUCUGGUCUGCAACUGACGCUGAGGCUCGAAAGCAUGGGUAGCGAACAGGAUUAGAUACCCUGGUAGUC
rnacentral:rRNA from 1 species